rnacentral:rRNA from 1 species
GAUGAACGCUGGCGGCGUGCCUAAUACAUGCAAGUCGAGCGAGCGGCGGACGGGUGAGUAAUGUCUGGGAAACUGCCUGAUGGAGGGGGAUAACUACUGGAAACGGUAGCUAAUACCGCAUACCAUCAGAUGUGCCCAGGUGGGAUUAGGUAGUGGGGGGGGUAAUGGCUCACCUAGGCGACGAUCCCUAGCUGGUCUGAGAGGAUGACCAGCAACACUGGGACUGAGACACGGGCCAGACUCCGACGGGAGGCAGCAGUGGGGAAUAUUGCCCAAUGGGGGCAAGCCUGAUGCAGCCAUGCCGCGUGUGUGAAGAAGGCCUUCGGGUUGUAAAGCACUUUCAGCGGGGAGGCGUUAACCGCAGAAGAAGCACCGGCUAACUCCGUGCCAGCCGCCGCGGUAAUUC